GGAGUGCGGGUGCUUACACAUGCAGUCGAACGGGAUCCAUCAGGCUUUGCUUGGUGGUGAGAGUGGCGAACGGGUGAGUAAUGCGUGACCGACCUGCCCCAUACACCGGAAUAGCUCCUGGAAACGGGUGGUAAUGCCGGAUGCUCCGACUCCUCGCAUGGGGUGUCGGGAAAGAUUUCAUCGGUAUGGGAUGGGGUCGCGUCCUAUCAGGUAGUCGGCGGGGUAACGGCCCACCGAGCCUACGACGGGUAGCCGGCCUGAGAGGGCGACCGGCCACAUUGGGACUGAGAUACGGCCCAAACUCCUACGGGAGGCAGCAGUGGGGAAUAUUGCACAAUGGGCGCAAGCCUGAUGCAGCGACGCCGCGUGCGGGAUGACGGCCUUCGGGUUGUAAACCGCUUUUGAUCGGGAGCAAGCCUUCGGGUGAGUGUACCUUUCGAAUAAGCACCGGCUAACUACGUGCCAGCAGCCGCGGUAAUACGUAGGGUGCAAGCGUUAUCCGGAAUUAUUGGGCGUAAAGGGCUCGUAGGCGGUUCGUCGCGUCCGGUGUGAAAGUCCAUCGCUUAACGGUGGAUCUGCGCCGGGUACGGGCGGGCUGGAGUGCGGUAGGGGAGACUGGAAUUCCCGGUGUAACGGUGGAAUGUGUAGAUAUCGGGAAGAACACCAAUGGCGAAGGCAGGUCUCUGGGCCGUUACUGACGCUGAGGAGCGAAAGCGUGGGGAGCGAACAGGAUUAGAUACCCUGGUAGUCCACGCCGUAAACGGUGGAUGCUGGAUGUGGGGCCCGUUCCACGGGUUCCGUGUCGGAGCUAACGCGUUAAGCAUCCCGCCUGGGGAGUACGGCCGCAAGGCUAAAACUCAAAGAAAUUGACGGGGGCCCGCACAAGCGGCGGAGCAUGCGGAUUAAUUCGAUGCAACGCGAAGAACCUUACCUGGGCUUGACAUGUUCCCGACAGCCGUAGAGAUAUGGCCUCCCUUCGGGGCGGGUUCACAGGUGGUGCAUGGUCGUCGUCAGCUCGUGUCGUGAGAUGUUGGGUUAAGUCCCGCAACGAGCGCAACCCUCGCCCUGUGUUGCCAGCACGUCAUGGUGGGAACUCACGGGGGACCGCCGGGGUCAACUCGGAGGAAGGUGGGGAUGACGUCAGAUCAUCAUGCCCCUUACGUCCAGGGCUUCACGCAUGCUACAAUGGCCGGUACAACGGGAUGCGACACGGCGACGUGGAGCGGAUCCCUGAAAACCGGUCUCAGUUCGGAUUGGAGUCUGCAACCCGACUCCAUGAAGGCGGAGUCGCUAGUAAUCGCGGAUCAGCAACGCCGCGGUGAAUGCGUUCCCGGGCCUUGUACACACCGCCCGUCAAGUCAUGAAAGUGGGUAGCACCCGAAGCCGGUGGCCUAACCCUUUGUGGAUGGAGCCGUCUAAGGAGACUCCGC
rnacentral:rRNA from 1 species